UACGAAGGGGGCUAGCGUUGCUCGGAAUCACUGGGCGUAAAGCGCACGUAGGCGGCUUUUUAAGUCAGGGGUGAAAUCCUGGAGCUCAACUCCAGAACUGCCUUUGAUACUGGAAAGCUUGAGUCCGGGAGGGGUGAGUGGAACUCCGAGUGUAGAGGUGAAAUUCGUAGAUAUUCGGAAGAACACCAGUGGCGAAGGCGGCUCACUGGCCCGGUACUGACGCUGAGGUGCGAAAGCGUGGGGAGCAAACAGG
rnacentral:rRNA from 1 species